GGUCAAGAUACUAAGGGCGUACGGGGGAUGACUUGGCACUGAGACGCGAUGAAGGACGUGGAAACCUGCGAUAAGCCUCGGGCAGUCGGUAACAGACGCUAUGACCCGGGGAUCUCCUAAUGGGGAAACCCUCCUGGUUUGAAUACCAGGAACGCCCGGCUGAAUACAUAGGCCGGCGCGAGCAAACGUGGGAAACUGAACCAUCUAAGUACCCACAGGAAAAGAAAUCGAAGAGACUUCCUAAGUAGCGGCGAGCGAAAGGGAAUCAGCCCAAACCUCAUGCAUGUAAGGUUGCAGCCGUUGUGCAUGUGGGGUCGUGGGGUCCUACGCGGGAACUGCAAAACCCGCACAGAGUUACAAAAUCGAACCUAACAGAACGGACUGGAAAGUCCGGCCGAAGAAGGUGAAAGCCCUGUAGGUGAAAGGUUACGAUCUCUGAAGGAUACCCCAAGUACAGUCGGUUAAGAGGAAUCCGGCUGGAAUUCAGGGAGCCCACUCUCUAAGGCUAAAUAGUACUCAGUGACCGAUAGUGAACCAGUACCGUAAGGGAAAGUUGGAAAGAUCCCCGGAAGGGGAGGAAUUGAUCCUGAAACCGUAUGUCUACAAGCGGUCGAAGCUCUAUACCCGUAUGGGCAGGAGCGACGGCGUGCCUUUUGCAUAAUGAUCCGGGGAGUUUCGUUACGUUGCAAGGUUAAGCGCCUCUGGCGCGAAGCCGAAGCGAAAGCGAGUGCGAAACGUGCGACUAUAGUAACGUGACGAAGGCCCGAAACCGGAGGAUCUAUCCUUGGCCAGGGUGAAGUGAGCUUAACCGCUCAUGGAGGCCCGAACGGUUUAGAGUUGAAAAUCUAUCCGAUGAGCUGAGGAUAGGAGUGAAAAGCUAACCGACUUCGGAGAUAGCUGGUUCUCCGCGAAAAAACUUUAGGGUUUGCCUCAAGUAAUAGCAGAUGGGGGUAGAGAUACUGAGAGGAUUGGUGGGCGGUUCGCCGUACCCCAUCCUUUUAAACUCCGAAUACCAUCAGCCGUAUCUUGGGAGUAAGACGGUGGGGGAUAAGCUCCAUCGUCGAGAGGGAGAUAACCCAGACCAUCAGCUAAGGUCCCUAAACCAACGCUAAGUGGACAAAGGAAGUGACCGUACAGAGACAGCCGGGAUGUUGGCUUAGAAGCAGCCACCAUUUAAAAAGUGCGUAAUAGCUUACCGGUCGAGUACGGUCGCGCCGACAAUAAUCGGGACUAAGCGUUGUACCGAAGCUAUGGCUUCAGUGACUGGUGUUCCAGUCCUGAGGGGUAGCGGAGCGUUCCAACCUGCGAUGAAGCCGUACCGUGAGGAGCGGUGGAGUGGUUGGUAGUGAUGAUCCCGGAUUCAGUAGCGAUAAAACGGGUUAGAAUCCCGUUCGUCGUAAGCCUAAGGGUUCCGGAGCAAGGUAAUUCCGCUUCGGGUUAGUCGGUCCCUAAGCCGAGGCCGAAAGGCGUAGGUGAUGGGAAUGACGUUAAUAUUCGUCAACCUCGUUGAGGUGCGAUGGGGAGACCCAGGGUUGAAGGUCUAGGGCCUAUUGGAUGGUCCGUUGCCCAAGAGGGUGGCAGGUAGGUAAAUCCGCCUGCGUGAUCUCUUGAGGGUGAGACAUUGCGGCUUCGGCCAAAGUGUACUGACUGGAUGUCCUGGCAAGAAAAGCCUCUAAGCAUAACUUCAAUGAGACCGUACCCAAAACCGACACAGGUAGGCGAGGAGAAUAUCCUCAGACGCGCGUGAGAACUCUGCGGAAGGAACUCGGCAAACUGACCCCGUAAGUUCGCAAUAAGGGGUGCCUACCCGUAAGGGAGGUCACAGAAAAGAGGCUCUGCCGACUGUUUAUCAAAAACACAGCUCUCUGCUAACUCCGAAGAGGAUGUAUAGAGAGCGACGCUUGCCCAAUGCUGGAAGGUCAAGGGGACUGGUCAGACGUAAGUCAAAGCCGGGAACCUAAGCCCCAGUGAAUGGCGGCCCUAACUAUGAGGGUCCUAAGGUAGCGAAAUUCCUUGGCUGGUAAGUUCAGUCGCGCACGAAGAGCGGCACGAGUGGAGCACUGUCUCCCGCAGGGACACGGCGAAAUAGGAGUUGUUGUGAAGAUACAACAUACCCGCAGCUAGGCGGAAAGACCCUAUGCAGCUUUACUGUAAUCUGACACUGUGCCUUCGUAUUUGAUGCGUAGGAUAGGUGGGAGGCGUUGAUUCCAGGGUUUCGGCCCUGGAGGAGCCAUCGGUGAAAUACCACCCUUUAGGUAUGAAGGUUCUAACCUCACUCCGUAAUCCGGGUGUGGGACACUGUUUGAUGGACAGUUUGACUGGGGCGGUUUCCUCCCAAAAAGUAACGGAGGAGUUCAAAGGUACCCUCAGGGCGGUCGGUCAUCGCCCGAAGAGCGCAAAGGUAGAAGGGUGCUUGACUGCGAGACUAAUGAGUCGAGCAGACUGGAAACAGGGACUUAGUGAUCCUGUGGAUCCGUGUGGAAGGGACAUAGCUUAUCAGAUAAAAGCUACGCUAGGGAUAACAGGCUGAUCCUACCUAAGAGUCCAUAUCGACGGUAGGGUUUGGCACCUCGAUGUCGGCUCAUCGCAUCCUGGGACUGAAGGCGGCCCCAAGGGUUCGGCUGUUCGCCGAUUAAAGCGGUACGUGAGCUGGGUUCAGACCGGCGCGAGCCAGGUUGGUCCCUACCUACUGUGGGCGGAAGAGUUUUGAGCGAGUCUAACCUUAGUACGAGAGGAUUGGGUUGGACGUACCUCUGGUGUUCCUGUUGGGUCGCCAGACCCAGCGCAGGGUAGCUAUGUACGGAAAGGAUAAGCGCUGAAAGCAUAUAAGCGCGAAGCCCUUCGCGAGAUAAGAACUCUCUAUCAGGACCGUGGAAGACUACCACGUCGAUAGGCCGGGUGUGGAAGUGGUGAGAGCCACUAAGCUAACCGGUACUAAUCAUCCGAUCGGCUUGACCUC
rnacentral:rRNA from 1 species